rnacentral:rRNA from 1 species
GACGAACGCUGGCGGCGUGCUUAACACAUGCAAGUCGAACGGAAAGGCCCUGCUUUUGUGGGGUGCUCGAGUGGCGAACGGGUGAGUAACACGUGAGUAACCUGCCCUUGACUUUGGGAUAACUUCAGGAAACUGGGGCUAAUACCGGAUAGGAGCUCCUGCUGCAUGGUGGGGGUUGGAAAGUUUCGGCGGUUGGGGAUGGACUCGCGGCUUAUCAGCUUGUUGGUGGGUAGUGGCUUACCAAGGCUUUGACGGGUAGCCGGCCUGAGAGGGUGACCGGCCACAUUGGGACUGAGAUACGGCCCAGACUCCUACGGGAGGCAGCAGUGGGGAAUAUUGCGCAAUGGGCGGAAGCCUGAUGCAGCAACGCCGCGUGCGGGAUGACGGCCUUCGGGUUGUAAACCGCUUUCGCCUGUGACGAAGCGUGAGUGACGGUAAUGGGUAAAGAAGCACCGGCUAACUACGUG